GCCACCACUGCCAGCCAUGACUGCUGCACAACGUGAACUGAAUUUGACCACAAUGACCCAAAAGAGACCCAGAGCUGCGACUGACAACCUGGAGCUGCCUGCCGUGGAUAACCCUGCCAGGAAGCAGGAUGGAUUCUUAGCCAAGCACAGGAAAGUGGAGGAAGACCCCGAGGAGCAAACCCCAAGCCAUCACCAUUGGUAUCCAGGAGGGCUGGUGGGAGUAUUCCUGCAACCCAGGCGUGCUGUGUGAUGCACUGCAGAAACAUCCUCUCAGAUAAGUGACCAUUUCUGACUGUAGGCAGCUGCAACUAAAAUGAGUGUGUGUACAAAAAGGAGUGUGUUUAUAAAAAGAAAAGGACUGCAAUCUGGGCCUUAGGUUGUAUAUCAUUCAGAGGGAAUUGCUGCAUUUAUGGGUUAAAAAAUUAGAAUUUACUUGCUUUUUAUAAAAAAUUUGGCAGUUUAAUGAUGGCUUGGGACAUGGGGUCUAUGAUAUUUGGGGGUGAGGGAGCAUGUGUCUCUGUUCUGUCUUAGGCCAGACUGUGCACAGUGCAUUAGCUGCCUUCUAACUGCUUGCUUUUUCCUGAUCAUUUUCCUGCUUCCAGCCCUCACUGCACUCCCAGCUAUUGAGCAAGGAAAUCUGCUGCUGAAUUUCUCUGUGCUUGGGAGAAGUUGAAUGGUGCAAAGCAUUGUGAGCUGCCAGGGAUCUGCAGAGGAUGAGAAGAAUCCUUUUCCAGUGCCUUCUGUGCCACAUGAAGCCAAGACAAGAAGACCUGAAGUUAGGACAAGUUUGCUGCUGAACAAAGCCAAGUGAGGGGCCCAAGAGCUGGCCUGACCUCACACAGAGAAUGGUUCAGAACUUUCAGUGACCAAGUGCCCUAACUGGGUCUCCAGGAUGUAAAUAGUUCCAAGUUCUCUAGUCUAUCGAAACCUUACAAACACUUUUGUUUUAUUUACUGUUCAAUGCAAAACACCUGCUUUUUUUUGUUUGUUUUGUUUUGUUUUAAAUACAGUUGUGUGUUCUUUUGGUUACUUUUGGAAAUCCUUGUGGUUUUUGAGGAUAAUGCUUUUCUAUCUUGCAAAAGAAGGGAUGGGCUGUGGUAUCAGCCAUUAAGAUAAAACUGUGGAGAGAAGGAUGGUGUAAUAUUCACUAUAAAAUAACUGGUGGUUAAUGAAAUAAAAUAAAAAACCCCACAGCGUUAUGUGUACUAAAACCAGUGGCCAAAAAGGCAGUGGUCAGACUAAAUGAUAGAGAUUCAAACAGGAAGGCAGCUGUCCCCAGACAUGUACAUUUCAGGGGAUUUCUCUUCUCUGACAGGAGGCAUUUUGGUAAGCAUCACCAGCAACCACAAACUAA